AGGAUGGACCCGCGUCUGAUUAGCUAGUUGGUAAGGUAACGGCUUACCAAGGCGACGAUCAGUAGCCGACCUGAGAGGGUGAUCGGCCACAUUGGAACUGAGACACGGUCCAAACUCCUACGGGAGGCAGCAGUGGGGAAUAUUGCACAAUGGGCGAAAGCCUGAUGCAGCAACGCCGCGUGAGUGAUGAAGGCCUUCGGGUCGUAAAACUCUGUCCUCAAGGAAGAUAAUGACGGUACUUGAGGAGGAAGCCCCGGCUAACUACGUGCCAGCAGCCGCGGUAAUACGUAGGGGGCUAGCGUUAUCCGGAUUUACUGGGCGUAAAGGGUGCGUAGGCGGUCUUUCAAGUCAGGAGUGAAAGGCUACGGCUCAACCGUAGUAAGCUCUU
rnacentral:rRNA from 1 species